AGGGCACCACCAGGAGUGGAGCCUGCGGCUUAAUUUGACUCAACACGGGAAAACUCACCCGGCCCGGACACCGUAAGGAUUGACAGACUGAUAGCUCUUUCUUAAUUCGGUGGGUGGUGGUGCAUGGCCGUUCUUAGUUGGUGGAGCGAUUUGUCUGGUUAAUUCCGAUAACGAACGAGACUCUGGCCUAUUAAAUAGUAGAGUCAUCUCUGUAAGUGAUUCUUACUUCUUAGAGGGACAAGCGGCGUCUGGCCGCAUGAAAUAGAGCAAUAACAGGUCUGUGAUGCCCUUAGAUGUCCGGGGCUGCACGCGCGCUACACUGAAAGAAUCAGUGUGCGUCCAGAACCUAGUCCGGAAGGACCGGGUAACCCCAGUAAAUUCUUUCGUGCUUGGGAUAGGGAAUUGAAAUUAUUUCCCUUAAACGAGGAAUUCCCAGUAAAUGCGGGUCAUAAGCUCGCGUUGAUUACGUCCCUGCCCUUUGUACACACCGCCCGUCGCUACUACCGAUUGGAUGACUCA
rnacentral:rRNA from 1 species